rnacentral:sRNA from 1 species
CUCUGCAGCUGUACAGGCCUGCAAGAGAGUGGGGCAGGUGUCGGUGAAUGACACUGUGGUGGUAGCCGAGGCCAGAUUUGCGGUGGCAUGGGAAACUGGCACACCUAACUUCUGCAAGCCUAAUGCAGACAAGUUCACACUGCCCACCUCUAAUAACUGGAUGAAAGAAUUUGAUUCUGUACCAUGUAGAUCCAUCAGGACACCAUCAACUCAAUACAUGCGACCACCUAGGGAAAACAACCUGAUGACCAUAUCUGUUACCAACGGACCUGCCAAGCCUCCAGCUAGAUGCACUCGCAUCUGUAUCAACCCUUUCCUCACUUCCCAGCCCAGUCUUGCUGCCAACUUCGGAUCCACAAAGGUUGUGGACACCCCUGUGUCAAGUAAGAAUUUAGGAGAGGGGGCUGAUAAAUGGCUGUCAGCAGAGACAGGAAUGGAUAUGGAGAGCAGAGGAUGGAACAGAGCAUAUGUUGCAUCAUGGGAGUCAUCAUCAGCUGGAGGAACGGUUUGAGCUAACAUCAAGUACACUGAGGUAGCAUUGCCUGCUGUCAGUUCAGUCUCCAAAUGAUGGACCUUGGGUGGGUUGAGGUGAGGGUAUGAGUGGGGCACUUGGGAUGUUGAUGGCCCAGUUUGCGACAAUCAUAACAAUGAUUCUCCUUUCAAAAGACCUCCUGAAUGUAACAGCCCACAGGUGAGAGGUAAUAGGGCAGGGCAUGGGCAGGGUCAUAAUAGUAUGAAAUUGGGUGGGGUAGUUGGACAUUGUUGGAGGUGGUCUUUUAGUGGUGCAUUGAGAGGAUUGGGAAGCUGCAUGUUCAUGCUGGAUACAGUUGACAUGAUUGCUGAUCAAAGUGCAGAGAUGGUCUAGGUCAUCAACAUGGAACUCUGGUUCACCAACCAGACAGAGGAAAAGGCCCUCUGUGCAACUGAUGCAAUAAAGGUCAGCAAUUGGUGAAUCACUCAGGUAAUGAUUCAUACCAAGAAGAUGACUACAGUGUAGGAUUACCACAUUGUCAAAGGUUCACCAGGCCUCAAAACAUACAUACCUCAUGGAAAGAGAGACAACAGGUGGUUGCCAGGAUCACUGGCUGUGUUUCAGAAAUAGCAGUUGCCAGAAGUCACUUGCCAUGUUUUUGGACCAAAUCACACCUGCCAAUGCCAUCCAAUGCAUGGGAAUAAAUCCUACCAUUGAUGGGCCAACUGGUGGUGAGGGCUCUGCCCUUACACCUACCUGAGCAGGGGUGUCAAUAUAAACACUAAGCACUGUUCUGCCCAGUCAGCACAUUGUCAGGAAGAGGAACAAGCAUAAAAGGACACCCACCAAACAUGCUGAAAGACCAUAGCAUAAGGAGGCUCUCUUACAGAUGGGAAAAGAAGAGAGGAACUUUAGAAGGAUUUGCAGUCUAAAUAUAUCUCUGGGUGUUUGGGAUGGCAUGGGAAAAAAACAAGAAUGGGAAAAACCCAUGCAUGGCUGGCAGCCACAUGGGAGCAAUGUGCAAGGCUGAAACACAGCCAGAGGCCAUGUGUGAGGAGGCCAAGUUCAGGCAUUGGCUGAAUGCAGAAAGAUGGCACAUUGCAGAUGCUGUGAGGCAUAACUACCCAUUCCAACAACCCAAGGGGAGUAGUAAUAGCUGUCUUGGAAAUGUCAUCCUCAUUCAUAAGCAUCUGGAAGAAGGCAUCCUUGCAGUCCAGCUUGGCAAAUAUCUUCCCUUUCUGUGCAGCAGAAUGUAAGAUGUCCUGGAUGCUUCCCAUGCAGUACAUGUCAGGAAUCAUGACAUUGUUGAGAGCUUGAAAGUUUGCAAACCAUGCAGAAUUUACCAUUCCCCUUAGAAACAAGAAAUGCAAGAGAUGCCCAAGGAGGACUCAAAUAAUGAAGGUAGCCUGCAUUCAGGUGUUCCAAGGGCAUCUCAUGGAAACAGGGAAGCAGGGCUUCAG